ACCCCGGGGCACGAGGCCUCCACUGCGGCUGCGCCGCCUGCCGGCGCGCGUCCGACUUCUACUGCGGCUGCGCACGGUCGGCGCGCACACGCUCUUCUGCUUUCUGGGGCUCCUCCCUCCAGCCGAGGUCCCUCGGGGCGUCUGUGCAGUCUGGGCUUUCCG
ensembl:misc_RNA